rnacentral:snRNA from 1 species
AAAUUCGUGAAUCUUUCUUACUAAAAUUGGAACGAUACAGAGAAGAUUAGCAUGGCCCCUGC